UUGGACCGCUGUCAGGGUUUUUAGCAUUAGUGAUAGUCUGUGUAUAUAUCAUUGUAAGACGAUGUCAGAACUCGCGUGCAAAAGCACAGGAAGACGCCACGAAGCGUGAUCUGCCAAAGAAGUCUGAAUAUCUUAAGGUUCCGCUUAAGGAUAUCCAUGAUGCUACUAACAACUUGGACCAAUCAAACUACAUUGGUGAAGGAAC
rnacentral:lncRNA from 1 species